rnacentral:rRNA from 1 species
UACGUAGGGUGCGAGCGUUGUCCGGAAUUAUUGGGCGUAAAGCGCACGUAGGCGGCUUGGUAAGUUAGAGGUGAAAGCCUGGAGCUCAACUCCAGAAUUGCCUUUAAGACUGCCGAGCUAGCAGGUGAGAGAGGUGAGUGGAAUUCCGAGUGUAGAGGUGAAAUUCGUAGAUAUUCGGAAGAACACCAGUGGCGAAGGCGGCUCACUGGCUCAUACUGGACGCUGAGGUGCGAAAGCGUGGGGAGCAAACAGG